CAUUAAGAAGCUAUUGCAGCGUUAACCUUUUAAGUUAAAGAAUGAGAACUUGAAUUUCUCCUUAAUGA
rnacentral:tRNA from 1 species